rnacentral:snRNA from 1 species
AUACUUACCUGGCAGAGGAGAUACCAUGAUCCUGAAGGUGGUCUUCCCAGGGCGAGGCUUAUCCAUUGUACUCUGGAUGUGCCAAUCCCUGUGAUUUCCCCAGAAAAAAAACGGGGUGCUGUUUUACUUCAUGAGUUAAAUAAAACAAAGAAAUGUUUUUUAA